UACGUAGGUGGCAAGCGUUGUCCGGAAUUAUUGGGCGUAAAGGGCUCGUAGGCGGUUUGUCGCGUCGGGAGUGAAAACCAGGUGCUUAACACCUGGCUUGCUUUCGAUACGGGCAGACUAGAGGUAUUCAGGGGAGAACGGAAUUCCUGGUGUAGCGGUGAAAUGCGCAGAUAUCAGGAGGAACACCGGUGGCGAAGGCGGUUCUCUGGGAAUGACCUGACGCUGAGGAGCGAAAGUGUGGGGAGCGAACAGG
rnacentral:rRNA from 1 species